UGCCUAAACUCGCAGCAAUGCGGGCAUGGCAGCCAAAACCCUUCGCAGGUACUGAACCCCGUGUUCAGCGACUCUGCGAAGGGUCAUAUCCGAAAGGGUAUGUAGCCGAAAGGCUU
rnacentral:sRNA from 1 species